rfam:Candidate division WOR-1 bacterium RIFOXYB2_FTLL_48_7 rifoxyb2_full_scaffold_1335, whole genome shotgun sequence.
GGGCGCGUAGUUUAGUGGUAGAACGCUUCCUUCACACGGAAGAGGUCAGAGGUUCAAUCCCUCUCGCGCCCA